rnacentral:rRNA from 1 species
UACGUAAGGACCGAGCGUUGUCCGGAAUCAUUGGGCGUAAAGAGCUCGUAGGUGGUUUGUCGCGUCGUCUGUGAAAUUCCGGGGCUUAACUCCGGGCGUGCAGGCGAUACGGGCAAACUGGAGUGCUGUAGGGGAGACUGGAAUUCCUGGUGUAGCGGUGGAAUGCGCAGAUAUCAGGAGGAACACCGGUGGCGAAGGCGGGUCUCUGGGCAGUAACUGACGCUGAGGAGCGAAAGCAUGGGGAGCGAACAGG